rnacentral:tRNA from 1 species
GCGCGGGUGGCGAAAUUGGUAGACGCGUUAGUCUUAGGAACUAAUAGAGCAAUCUGUGGAGGUUCAAGUCCUCUCCCGCGCACCA